AAGUCGUAACAAGGUUUCCGUAGGUGAACCUGCGGAAGGAUCAUUAAUGGGAUUGCAAGGGAGAGCUGAUGCUGGUGGCCCCUCUGGCUGCAUGUGCUCGCUCUUCUGAUUUAUUUCACACUGUGCACCCAAGUUUCUCAGAGGGCUUUUAAUGGCCCUUGGGGGAGUUUUAUAAACACCUUGGAUUGGAAUACUGGAUGAUUGUCAAAUAAUUACAACUUUUAACAACGGAUCUCUUGGCUCUU
rnacentral:misc_RNA from 1 species